rnacentral:rRNA from 1 species
AGAGUUUGAUUAUGGCUCAGAACGUACGCUGGCGGCACGCCUAACACAUGCAAGUCGAACGAAGUAGCAAUACUUAGUGGCAGACGGGUGAGUAACAUGUAGGUAUCUGCCCUUUGGCCUGGAAUAACACGAGGAAACUUGUGCUAAUACCGGAUAAGUCUUUACGGAGAAAGCUUUAUGCACCAUUGGAUGAGCCUGCACUUGAUUAGUUUGUUGGUGGGGUAAUGGCCUACCAAGACUGUGAUCAAUAGCUGAUUUGAGAGGAUGAUCAGCCACAUUGGGACUGAGACACGGCCCAAACUCCUACGGGAGGCAGCAGUGGGGAAUCUUGCACAAUGGAGGAAACUCUGAUGCAGCGAUGCCGCGUGAGUGAAGAAGGCCCUUGGGUUGUAAAGCUCUUUCGUCGGGGAAGAAAAUGACUGUACCCGAAUAAGAAGGUCCGGCUAACUUCGUGCCAGCAGCCGCGGUAAUACGAAGGGACCUAGCGUAGUUCGGAAUUACUGGGCUUAAAGAGUUCGUAGGUGGUUGAAAUAGUUGGUGGUGAAAUCCCAGAGCUUAACUCUGGAACUGCCAUCAAAACUUUUCAGCUAGAGUAUGAUAGAGGAAAGCAGAAUUUCUAGUGUAGAGGUGAAAUUCGUAGAUAUUAGAAAGAAUACCAAUUGCGAAGGCAGCUUUCUGGAUCAUUACUGACACUGAGGAACGAAAGCAUGGGUAGCGAAGAGGAUUAGAUACCCUCGUAGUCCAUGCCGUAAACGAUGUGUGUUAGACGUUGGAAAUUUAUUUUCAGUGUCGCAGGGAAACCGAUAAACACACCGCCUGGGGAGUACGACCGCAAGGUUAAAACUCAAAUGAAUUGACGGGGACCCGCACAAGUAGUGGAGCAUGUGGUUUAAUUCGAAGAUACGCGCAGAACCUUACCAACACUUGACAUGUUCGUCGCGACUCUAAGAGAUUAGAGUUUUCGGUUCGGCCGGACGAAACACAGGUGCUGCAUGGCUGUCGUCAGCUCGUGUCGUGAGAUGUUGGGUUAAGUCCCGCAACGAGCGCAACCCUCACUUUUAGUUGCCAUCAUUAAGUUGGGCACUCUGAAAGAACUGCCAGUGAUAAGCUGGAGGAAGGUGGGGAUGACGUCAAGUCCUCAUGGCCCUUACGUGUUGGGCUACACACGUGCUACAAUGGUAUUUACAGCAGGAAGCAAGACUGCGAAGUUAAGCAAAUCCCUAAAAGAUACCUCAGUUCGGAUUGCACUCUGCAACUCGAGUGCAUGAAGCUGGAAUUACUAGUAAUCGUGGAUCAGCGUGCCACGGUGAAUGCGUUCCCGGGUCUUGUACACACCGCCCGUCACACCAUGGGAGUUGGUUCUACCUUAAGGCAAGGUUUUAAACCCUUGACCACGGUAUAGUCAGCGACUGGGGUGAAGUCGUAACAAGGUA